rnacentral:rRNA from 1 species
AUUGAACGCUGGCGGCAUGCCUUACACAUGCAAGUCGAACGCGAAAGGGGGCAACUCCUGAGUAGAGUGGCGCACGGGUGAGUAAUGCAUCGGAACGUGUCCUGUAGCGGGGGAUAACCUAGCGAAAGCUAGGCUAAUACCGCAUACGCCCUAAGGGGGAAAGUGGGGGAUCGUAAGACCUCACACUAUAGGAGCGGCCGAUGCCGGAUUAGCUAGUUGGUGGGGUAAGAGCCCACCAAGGCGACGAUCCGUAGCUGGUCUGAGAGGAUGAUCAGCCACACUGGGACUGAGACACGGCCCAGACUCCUACGGGAGGCAGCAGUGGGGAAUUUUGGACAAUGGGGGGCAACCCUGAUCCAGCCAUGCCGCGUGAGUGAAGAAGGCCUUCGGGUU